rnacentral:rRNA from 1 species
GACAGAGGGUGCAAACGUUGUUCGGAAUUACUGGGCGUAAAGCGCGUGUAGGCGGCAUGGCAAGUCGGGUGUGAAAGCCCACGGCUCAACCGUGGAAGGGCACUCGAAACUGCUAAGCUAGAGUCCUGGAGAGGAAGGUGGAAUGCUCGGUGUAGAGGUGAAAUUCGUAGAUAUCGAGCGGAACACCGGUGGCGAAGGCGGCCUUCUGGACAGUGACUGACGCUGAGACGCGAAAGCGUGGGGAGCAAACAGGAUUAGAUACCCCAGUAGUCC